rnacentral:rRNA from 1 species
UACGUAGGGAGCAAGCGUUGUCUGGAAUCAUUGGGCGUAAAGAGCGCGUAGGUGGAUCAAUUAGUCUGCUGUGAAAGUCAAAGGCUCAACCUUUGAAAGCCGGUGGAUACUGUUGAUCUAGAGUACGGAAGAGGCGAGUGGAAUUCCUGGUGUAGCGGUGGAAUGCGCAGAUAUCAGGAGGAACACCAAUAGCGAAGGCAGCUCGCUGGGACGUUACUGACGCUGAGGCGCGAAAGCGUGGGGAGCAAACAGG